rnacentral:rRNA from 1 species
AGAUUGAACGCUGGCGGCAGGCCUAACACAUGCAAGUCGAGCGGCAGCACGGGUACUUGUACCUGGUGGCGAGCGGCGGACGGGUGAGUAAUGCCUAGGAAUCUGCCUGAUAGUGGGGGAUAACGUUCGGAAACGGACGCUAAUACCGCAUACGUCCUACGGGAGAAAGUGGGGGAUCUUCGGACCUCACGCUAUCAGAUGAGCCUAGGUCGGAUUAGCUAGUUGGUAGGGUAAAGGCCUACCAAGGCUACGAUCCGUAACUGGUCUGAGAGGAUGAUCAGUCACACUGGAACUGAGACACGGUCCAGACUCCUACGGGAGCAGCAGUGGGGAAUAUUGGACAAUGGGGCGAAAGCCUGACUCCAGCAAUGCCGCGUGAGU